rnacentral:lncRNA from 1 species
AGUCAGCACAUGUGAGGAGGAGCAGAUAGACAAGAAUGUUCUGCUCUGUAGCCUAUACCAGACACUCAAGAGUAGCUUGUAGAGUUAAGACAGAUUCCUCAGGGGUCACGUCAGCAGCAGGCCAAGGCUUAAGGAAAGGAUUCUGGGGUUCAAGAGCUCAGACCACUCUCUGGACCUCCCUGCCUACUGGGAGUCAUCUCAUGAGAGGACCAACUCACUCCAAGCAGACACUUCCCAAAUCAAAAUAUAAGAUUCCCUUGAACCAGGCACAUAGAUGCGAGCAUGCAUGAACAUCCAUGUGAACAAAUUUGACUACUUCAUUUUUGGAGGAAAGAGGGUACUGAGAUAAAACCUAUUAAUCUAUGG